UUCCGGUUGAUCCCGCCGGAGGCCAUUGCUAUCGGAGUCCGAUUUAGCCAUGCUAGUCGAGCGAGGUUAGCCCUCGCGGCGAACAGCUCAGUAACACGUGGCCAAGCUACCCUGCAGAGGGGGACAGCGUCGGGAAACUGACGGGAAUCCCCCAUACCGGUCUCACGCUGGAAUGCCGAGACCGACAAACGCUCCGGCGCUGCAGGAUGCGGCUGCGGCCGAUUAGGUAGUCGGUGGGGUAACGGCCCACCGAGCCAAUAAUUGGUACGGGGUGUGAGAGCACGAGCCCGGAGACGGAAUCUGAGACAAGAUUCCGGGCCCUACGGGGCGCAGCAGGCGCGAAACCUUUACACUGCACGAACGUGCGAUAAGGGGACUCCGAGUGCGAGGGCAUACAGUCCUCGCUAUUGUGUACCGUAGGGUGGUACACGACCAAGAGCUGGGCAAGACCGGUGCCAGCCGCCGCGGUAAUACCGGCAGCUCGAGUGAUGGCCGAUUUUAUUGGGCCUAAAGCGUCCGUAGCUGGCCCUGCAAGUCCGUCGGGAAAUCCACUCGCCUAACGAGUGGGCGUCCGGCGGAAACUACAGGGCUUGGGACCGGAAGACUUGAGGGGUACGUCUGGGGUAGGAGUGAAAUCCUGUAAUCCUGGACGGACCGCCGAUAGCGAAAGCACCUCAAGACGACGGAUCCGACAGUGAGGGACGAAAGCUAGGGUCUCGAACCGGAUUAGAUACCCGGGUAGUCCUAGCUGUAAACGAUGUUCGCUAG
rnacentral:rRNA from 1 species